GAGAGCCAAAUGAACCGAAAGAUUCAUGUUUGGUUCGGGAAGGGAUUAUGGAAUUUUGGAAAGGAAUGGAAAAAUAAUCUCAAUUAUUUCUUACUAGAUUGCGCGUUUUUACUUGUGAGUUCCUUUCUACUGCUAC
rnacentral:ncRNA from 1 species